AACGAACGCUGGCGGCAGGCCUAACACAUGCAAGUCGAUCGCGCCCUUCGGGGUGAGCGGCGGACGGGUGAGUAACGCGUGGGAACGUGCCCUUUUCUACGGAAUAGCCUCGGGAAACUGAGAGUAAUACCGUAUACGCCCUUUGGGGGAAAGAUUUAUCGGAAAAGGAUCGGCCCGCGUUGGAUUAGGUAGUUGGUGGGGUAAUGGCCUACCAAGCCGACGAUCCAUAGCUGGUUUGAGAGGAUGAUCAGCCACACUGGGACUGAGACACGGCCCAGACUCCUACGGGAGGCAGCAGUGGGGAAUCUUAGACAAUGGGGGCAACCCUGAUCUAGCCAUGCCGCGUGAGUGAUGAAGGCCUUAGGGUUGUAAAGCUCUUUCAGCUGGGAAGAUAAUGACGGUACCAGCAGAAGAAGCCCCGGCUAACUCCGUG
rnacentral:rRNA from 1 species